rnacentral:rRNA from 1 species
UGGGGAAUAUUGGACAAUGGGCGAAAGCCUGAUCCAGCAAUACCGCGUGUGUGAAGAAGGCCUGAGGGUUGUAAAGCACUUUCAAUGGGAAGGAAUACCUAUCGGUUAAUACCCGGUAGACUGACAUUACCCAUACAAGAAGCACCGGCUAACUCCGUGCCAGCAGCCGCGGUAAUACGGAGGGUGCAAGCGUUAAUCGGAAUUACUGGGCGUAAAGCGUGCGUAGGCGGUUAUUUAAGUCAGAUGUGAAAGCCCCGGGCUUAACCUGGGAACUGCAUUUGAUACUGGAUGACUAGAGUUUAGUAGAGGGGAGUGGAAUUUCAGGUGUAGCGGUGAAAUGCGUAGAGAUCUGAAGGAACACCAGUGGCGAAGGCGGCUCCCUGGACUAAAACUGACGCUGAGGUACGAAAGCGUGGGUAGCAAACAGGAUUAGAUACCCUGGUAGUCCACGCCGUAAACGAUGUCAACUAACCGUUGGGUCUUAAAGACUUAGUGGUGGAGCUAACGUAUUAAGUUGACCG